rnacentral:rRNA from 1 species
UACAGAGGUCCCAAGCGUUGUUCGGAUUCACUGGGCGUAAAGGGUGCGUAGGCGGCCGGGUAAGUCUGAUGUGAAAUCCCGCAGCUCAACUGCGGAACUGCAUCGGAUACUCUCCGGCUAGAGGAAUGGAGGGGAGACUGGAAUUCUCGGUGUAGCAGUGAAAUGCGUAGAUAUCUGGAGGAACACCGGUGGCGAAGGCGGCAUCCUGGACCGAGAUUGACGCUGAGGCGCGAAAGCUAGGGGAGCAAACGGG